GCCGGGCUCAGUCUGGGAAAGGAAGCAGGCUGUUGCACAAUCCAAUUAGCUCUGAGUUGCACCGAUAAGAAAACUGGAUCAGAUCACACAGAGGCUUUUUGUGACCAGUUGUGCAUCUGUUAGUUGGCUGGUAAUCCAUUUGAAGCAUCCUCAGGACAGGUUCUAAUCAAGGCUUUUACCAGGGAUCCACAAAAACACAACAUUGCUUCGAACAGCAACGUAAAAGCUGAGAUGUUGACUGCAUGCUUGCUGGCACUUAUCUUCAUCUGGACAGGAAUGGCUGCGAAAUUUGUUGCUCCACCAUGUGACCGGCACAUGUUGGAUAGCGGUUUUAACAAGUGCCUGUCAGACUUCAACAAGAGCAUGGAGACAAGUGGCUACCUGGACAGCUGCCCAUGGCCUACUGUGAAAGAUGUCUACAACACACUGAAGAGUUGCACGGAUAAAUUGGCUUCUGUAUCUUGGUGUCGGGGUCACAGAUUUCUGGUAGAUACGUUCUUCUUGGAGGUUCAUGAGAUGUUCUUUAAGCUCUGUGGACAGGUCCAUGACCCCCCACUCACCACUUUGGUUAUGUUAAUAGCACCUGUUAUCAUUGCCACACUCUUAAUACCAAUUGUCUGCAUUUAUCUCACCACCUGUAACACGGAGAUGCCCAGCACUUUGGGGCUCUGA
rnacentral:lncRNA from 1 species